CACGCAGUAGCUAAGCUGACACAGCGCCGCCCUUGUAAGGCGGAGGCCCCGGGUUUAAAUCCCGGCGGCUCCA
rnacentral:tRNA from 1 species